CUCAAUACGGGAGGCUGAGAUCCGCCGGAGGCGCAGCUACGGCCACCUGACCCGGCGGGGGAGCCACCGGUGAGACCGGCCCGCGAG
rnacentral:ncRNA from 1 species